GUGUGCUGUGGCAGCUCUGUGGGAAAGCUGCUCUGAGUGCCUGUGGGUGGCUCUGGCAGAGGGCUGAGCAUCUCAGGAGGUAGGGCAUGGUGGAGGCUUGCUUGAAGAUGAGAAGAGGAACACGUGAGAUGAGAGGCAGUGUGCUCUAAAGGGUUUUUCUGGCUGGUUAUUUCGUGUGGAAGUCCUUCUCCCUUCGUGUGAGUGUUUGGAGGUGCUGCUCUCCUGAUAAGCUGAACACCUGGCUGGCUGAGAGCUCCUUACAGGGGAUUGUGGGAUUUACAUACUGUCAAAGCUUCUCAAGCCUUGGAAAUGAGAAACUGUGGAUGGCAGCAGUGGAUUCUUCUGGAAGUCCUGCAGGGUUGGCUGCAUGCUCCCUGGCUGGCAGAGGACCCUGGAGAUGAGAGAACCAAUAUUGCUGCGAAGGUUAUUCCUAGCACAGGAGCAGUUAAGAAUCUGUCUGCACACAAAUGACGAAUUAUUGUAAUCUGAACAAAGAAUGGGGCAGUAAAGAUCACACCGGUUGGAAACUUUAAAGGGACUAGAGGCAGAAAGAUGAAAAGAUGAAUAAAAAAAGAUUCUUAAUGCUUACAAAUGCAGAAAUGUGGCUAAUUGGUACAAAUGACAAACACUUAAGAAGCGGACUUGAAUAACAGUUGCUAAGAUUCUCUGGCUUGUUGCAGCACUGCUGGGGUGCGCUUAGGGCGGCAUUUGGAUCCUGAAAUAGUGCCUGAUGCUCCUUCUGCUGUGAAAUCAGAAGGAAAACAUUCCUGUGUGGUGCGUUUCUAAUGUUUUCCUAAUGCCAUUUUAUCAGCCUGGCUUCCAGCUUAAAGUAUCACUUGAGUGCAUGGUGGGGCAGAACGCUGCUGCAGGAAUUGGGUUUGUUGGAUCGUGAGAGCACAGUGCUCCUUUCUGUCCUUGAAACCUCCCUGUGUCAUUCUGCACCCAUGUCCUGAGGAUGGCAGGAUUUCACCUGAGCAAUCUUUCAGCCAGGUAGCACAGUUUCAGGACCGGCGAUGGUCUGACAUCUCACACCACACCCAGAGAACUCCCACCUGAUGAAGCAGCCAGGCAGGAGCAGGUAUACCUGCUAGCAGAGCUUGGGGAGCACCCAAAGUAUUCUGGUGGAAAGGUUUUGGCCGAGGAAAUUCGGGCCCAGCUUCCAAAGUUUGCUUUGUUUUGGUGUGAAACAUGGAUUUGUGUUACAGUUGCAGUAGGCUUGCUUGGUGCUUUGCCCACGAUUAAUCAAACCUCGCAGAGGCUGGCCUUGGUGCAAGCUUGGCAGCAGGACCUGUGCCUGGGCAUGUUUACCUUGGCUUUGCAUUUCAUCGUGGACCUCUAUUUGUGGGCAGUAAAUCAAAUGCAUGAUAAGCUUACAGAGGAUCUGGACUGCGUCUAAUAGAUGCCAUUACACUGCUUGUUCAAAGCUGCGUGUGUGACAAGGUCAGCUCAUAAAAAUAGCAUAAAUUUCAUAUUUUCUUGACUCCCACAGAGGACUGCGGGAGGGAGAGACGUAGGGAUUGCUGCAGUGCGUGGAGCAUAGUGAUCUCUGCAGUUCAUCCAUAAUCCGUCAGAAAUCUGUCAUCUUUCCAAAGUUACUGUUUUAUAAGCUGCAAACUUAACGGUCACCUCUGUCCUGAUGGUACAGCACACUCCACAUCCCCUUAAUGGGAGA